rnacentral:lncRNA from 1 species
UGUCUAUUCCUCCCAGGAUGUCAGCAAGACAGAGCAGAGGGUGCCUAAGGAGACACACCAUAUCAUGAAGCAUUCCACUGAGACACCAGCGCGGCUCCAUCAGCACAAAAAAAUAAUCCAACCCAGGGAUGCUUCAGGGCUUGCCGUUGCAGUUAUUUGAGAGAUGAAGCUGGAGACGUGCUGGCACCGCCAUCUGGUGCAAGUUUCCAGGAAUUAACCGGCUGUGAGCAGCUCCAGCAGGAAAAUACUCGCCUGGGAUUUCAGAGCUGGCCAAAGCAAUGCUGGUAUUGCUGGUCCCAGCCCAGCACAGCUGGAUGGAAUGGCUCAAGGAGAGAUCAUCUUGCUUUCUCAGCAUUUUCCAGCCCCAUUCUCCCCUCAGAAGUAUUUUGGGCAUCAAACAGUUGCAAGAGGUCCUUCUGCAGACCAGAGCAGAGACAGAGGGAGCAGUAGAUCUACGCCUGCAGCAGCUUCUUGCCCUCAUGCAUGGCACUGUCUGAGAUGAUGACACCCUGUGGCUGUUUUUCUUAAACCAGCUGCUGACAGGAUCUGAAGCAUCUCCACAAACCUCCAGCCGUGAUCCAGGUGUCCCCACAGGUAACUGGGUGUCACUGGGAAACCAGCUCCUCCUUCCCUCUCCUCUCCAGCACACAUCCCACCCCAG